UGCAGUCGAACGAGAAAGGGCGCCUUCGGGGGCCUGAGUAAAGUGGCGAACGGGUGAGUAACACGUGGGUGACCUGCCCUCUGGAGGGGGAUAACCCGAGGAAACUCGGGCUAAGACCGCAUAAGCCUUUGAGGUCAAACUCAAAGGGAAAAGGGUUUAGCUUUCGAGCUUGAUCCUACCGGAGGAGGGGCCCGCGUCCCAUUAGCUAGUUGGUGGGGUAAAAGCCUACCAAGGCUACGAUGGGUAGCCGGUCUGAGAGGACGGACGGCCACACUGGAACUGAGACACGGUCCAGACUCCUACGGGAGGCAGCAGUGGGGAAUUUUGGGCAAUGGGCGAAAGCCUGACCCAGCAACGCCGCGUGGAGGAUGAAGGCCCUCGGGUCGUAAACUCCUGUCCUAGGGGAAGAAAAAAAUGACGGUACCCUUGGAGGAAGCCCCGGCUAACUCCGUGCCAGCAGCCGCGGUAAGACGGGGGGGGCGAGCGUUGUUCGGAAUUACUGGGCGUAAAGGGCGCGCAGGCGGCUUGGGAAGUCUUGGGUGAAAGCCCCCAGCUCAACUGGGGAAUGGCCUGAGAAACCACUAGGCUGGAGUG
rnacentral:rRNA from 1 species